rnacentral:rRNA from 1 species
AGGCGCGAAAACUUUACAAUGCCGGCAACGGCGAUAAGGGAACCUCGAGUGCCAGGUUACAAAUCUGGCUGUCGUGAUGCCUAAAAAGCAUUGCAUAGCAAGGGCCGGGCAAGACCGGUGCCAGCCGCCGCGGUAACACCGGCGGCUCGAGUGGUAACCGUUAUUAUUGGGUCUAAAGGGUCUGUAGCCGGCCGGAUAAGUCUCUUGGGAAAUCUGGCAGCUUAACUGUCAGGCUUUCAGGAGAUACUGUCUGGCUCGAGGCCGGGAGAGGUGAGAGGUACUUCAGGGGUAGGGGUGAAAUCUUGUAAUCCUUGAAGGACCACCAGUGGCGAAGGCGUCUCACCAGAACGGACCUGACGGCAAGGGACGAAAGCUAGGGGCACGAACCGGAUUAGAUACCCGGGUAGUCCUAGCCGCAAACGAUACUCGCUAGGUGUCGGCCACGGUGCGACCGUGGUCGGUGCCGUAGGGAAGCCGUGAAGCGAGCCACCUGGGAAGUACGGCCGCAAGGCUGAAACUUAAAGGAAUUGGCGGGGGAGCA